rnacentral:rRNA from 1 species
GACGAAGGGGCUAGCGUUGUCCGGAAUCAUUGGGCGUAAAGAGCGUGUAGGCGGCCCGGUAAGUCCGCUGUGAAAGUCAAAGGCUCAACCUUUGAAUGUCAGCGGAUACUGCCGGGCUAGAGUCCGGAAGAGGCGAGUGGAACUCCUGGUGUAGCGGUGAAAUGUGUAGAGAUCAUGAGGAAGACCAGUGGCGAAGGCGGGUCUCUGGACAGUUCCUGACACUGAGGCACGAAGGUCAGGGGAGCAAACGGG